rnacentral:rRNA from 1 species
CCUACGGGUGGCAGCAGUGGGGAAUUUUGGACAAUGGGCGCAAGCCUGAUCCAGCUAUUCCGCGUGUGGGAUGACGGCCCUCGGGUUGUAAACCACUUUAGUAGAGAACGAAAAGGAGCUAUCGAAUAAAUAGCUCUGCUGACGGUACUCUAAGAAUAAGCACCGGCUAACUACGUGCCAGCAGCCGCGGGAAUACGUAGGGUGCGAGCGGUAAUCGGAAUUACUGGGCGUAAAGGGUGUGCAGGCGGCUGAGUAAGCCAGAUGUGAAAUCCCCGGGCUUAACCUGGGAACCGCAUAUGUGACUGCUUGGCUAGAGUGCGUCAGAGGGAGGUGGAAUUCCACGUGUAGCAGUGAAAUGCUUAGAGAUCAUGCAGAACACCGAUUGCGAAGGCAGCUUACCAAGCUACUACUGACGUUGAGGCACGAAAGCGUGGGGAGCGAACAGGAUUAGAUACCCGAGUAGUC